UUCUCCUGAAGAUUUUUUCUGGAGGGACAAUCUAAAAGGACGUUCCCUAACAUGAUCUGGGGAAAAGUUGGUCUGUUUAGCCAGUUGACACUGCUCCAGCAAUGUUUUGGGAGGGUCUUCAGCUGCUGUCUCUCCCUUCGAGCUAGAUGAAGGCCGAGCAGGUUGUUUAUCACUAGGGCCUUUAGAUGCUCUCUCUCCCUUAGAGCUAUGGGAUGUAGGUGGUAAUAUAUCCCUGUCUCGAGGAGCCUGUCGAUUGUUCUCACGGUGGUCAUCUCUAGGAGCAUACCGGGAUGUAUAUAUGUAUGUAUAUAUAUCUCUUCUGUUGUUUGUGUCUUGUAAUCUAAAGCAGAAGUGAGGCCAGCUCUGAUCAGAUAUGUUUGAACAUGUUAGGGAUGUUAAUGAGGGUGAUGGAGAAGACAAGGCACGUUAUAGGAAUCAUGUUGUCCCACUUUCACUUUAAAGCAAUCACAUCAUAUCAUUCAUCACAUUACCGCACAUUGCACCUUAUACGGCUGUACUUUUAGUUUUAAGGCCUGACAUUUAGUUUUUGUUCUUUUUUUUUUAAUUUCUUAUAAUAACCACUCAUCUUAUUUGAAGAUCAUUGAUAUAUUGUUUGUAAUUUUUUUAGUCACAUGUUCUACUAUUUUUGGGGGUAAGAACUGCUGUUAUGGCUGUCAAAGUAACCAAACAUGUAAAUGGGAUUGUACCG